UACGAAGGGGGCUAGCGUUGCUCGGAAUCACUGGGCGUAAAGGGUGCGUAGGCGGGUUUUUAAGUCAGGGGUGAAAUCCUGGAGCUCAACUCCAGAACUGCCUUUGAUACUGAAGAUCUUGAGUCCGGGAGAGGUGAGUGGAACUGCGAGUGUAGAGGUGAAAUUCGUAGAUAUUCGCAAGAACACCAGUGGCGAAGGCGGCUCACUGGCCCGGUACUGACGCUGAGGUGCGAAAGCGCGGGGAGCAAACAGG
rnacentral:rRNA from 1 species